UACGUAGGGGGCGAGCGUUGUCCGAAUUUACUGGGCGUAAAGAGCGCGUAGGCGGGCUUUUACGUGAGAGGUGAAAGGUUCAGGGCUCAACCCGAACAGUGCCUUUCAUACUGGGAGCCUUGAGUGUGGGAGAGGCGAGUGGAAUUUCUGGUGUAGCGGUGAAAUGCGUAGAUAUCAGAAGGAACACCCAUGGCGAAGGCAGCUCGCUGGCCUACAACUGACGCUGAGGCGCGAAAGCGUGGGUAGCAAACAGG
rnacentral:rRNA from 1 species